CGGAGGAAAAGAAACCAACAGGGAUUGCCCCAGUAACUGCGAGUGAAGCGGCAAAAGCUCAAAUUUGAAAUCUGGCGCCUUUGGCGUCCGAGUUGUAAUUUGGAGAGACAUCUUCGGGGAUGGCAUACUGUCCUAAGUUCCUUGGAACAGGACGUCACAGAGGGUGAGAAUCCCGUGCCUGGAUGGUUGUCCAUCCCCAUUGUGAAGGGUCUUCGACGAGUCGAGUUGUUUGGGAAUGCAGCUCAAAAUGGGUGGUAAACGUCAUCUAAAGCUAAAUAUUGGCGAGAGACCGAUAGCGCACAAGUAGAGUGAUCGAAAGAUGAAAAGCACUUUGAAAAGAGAGUAAAAUAGUACGUGAAAUUGUUGAAAGGGAAGCGCUUGAGACCAGACACGGUCCGUGGUAAUCGCCCGCGCUUCGGUGCAGGUGCUCUUACCAUGACCGGUGCCAGCAUCGGUUCUGGCGGUGGGAUAAAAGGCAGGGGAAUGUAGCUUCCUCACUGGGAGUGUUAGAGCCCCUGUCACAAUGCCACCAGUCGGGACCGAGGACUGCGCUUCAGCUAGGAUGUUGGCGUAAUGGUCUUAAGCGACCCGUCUUGAAACACGGACCAAGGAGUCUAACAUCUAUGCGAGUGUUCGGGUGGAAAACCCUUGCGCGUAAUGAAAGUGAACGGAGGUGGGAACCCCGAAAGGGAGUGCACCAUCGACCGAUCCUGAUGUCUUCGGAAGGAUUUGAGUAAGAGCAUAGCUGUUGGGACCCGAAAGAUGGUGAACUAUGCCUGAAUAGGGUGAAGCCAGAGGAAACUCUGGUGGAGGCUCGCAGCGGUUCUGACGUGCAAAUCGAUCGUCAAAUUUGGGUAUAGGGGCGAAAGACUAAUCGAA
rnacentral:rRNA from 1 species